GGGGUCUUCUCCUCAUUCUCUGAGAGUCUUAUGUACAUCUGCUUCUUCUCUGCUUCUCCUACAGGUCGAGGCCUCUGUCCUUGGAGUCAGCGCAUCCUUGGAGCCCAGGCCAGUGACCCGCGUAGUAGGGGCUCAAUAAUAAUGGACUAGCUGGUGGAAGGAGACGGAGCAGGCAGCAGUGUGAAGUUCAAAGGCUCGGCUCACACCUGAUUCUCCCAGGGAGGGCUGCCCCCAGGACCGAACCCCCCUGCUUAUAUGAGGGGGGCGACCACCAUGCGCCAUGCUCUGCAGAACUGCAGCCUGGAUGGGGGGCUUCAAAGCACGCCUGCCGAUAGAUCAAGCGUCCUUUCCAACAGGAUAGCCCCCUCCUUGCUCACCUCCCCAAAUAAACCUGCGUAAUGAAGACAGAUGGCCUAGCUCAGUGCCGCCGCGUGCAGGUGGGGCCAGGGCGGCCCGAGGCCACACACCCCACCCUGGAGCGGGGCCUGAGGUGUCACCAGGACGGAGACCAACCUGCACCCCCUUCAUCACCGACCCCCCACCAGGGGCAGCAUCUCUAUGUGAUAAGCCAGGGUUCAUAUUUGCAUGCCGCCCUUUACAAAUAUCCAGCUCGAAGCCGGUAGCCCCGACUCCCGCCUGUAGGUAUGGUAAAGUCAUUCAUAAGGACAGAAACCUCUGACAGCUCCACUCCCCCAGAGCAGCGCAGGGUAAGUUGGCCAGAAGGGAGGGUGGGAGCCCCCCUGGCCGUUAUCUGAGCGACCUCCGGGCAGGCAUCUGCUCCCAGGCCCAGAGGGGGGUCUUUGUCGGUGAAAGGAGCAUUUGCAGGGCCGGCCAGCGCCUGGUUUAUGGACCUGGCCGGUGGGAGAGUGCACCCCGCCCAGCCUGCAUCCAGGCCUGAAGUGUUUACCCCUGGGGUGAUUUACAUCACCCAGGUGUUCAUUCGGGGAAACAUCUCGGCUCCGAGCUGACACGGUGAUUGCCCUGGAGUUGCAGACUUCGGCAUUCUUCUGUUCGUAACGUCUGGGGGCCAAAGAGAUUUUUAAAAACAGAAAGUCCUGGCCCAGAGUGGUUCGUGUCCUGGGGUUUUCACACAGGAGGGCCGAGGGACGUCUGAGCCCGGUGCCCCUCGCCCUUCCCCGGGUGGAGGAAAUUCUCGUCGCCCAAACUGCGGCCCUCCCCACCCUCCUGCAGACCCCUGUCCUCCGCAGGCUGCUCUGGCCUUUCUGUAGCUGCGGACACGCCGCAUCAGGCUUCCCCACUGCUGUUAGCAUCCUGGGGCUCCCCAAACCAAAAGUGUUCUCCUCAGUCAAGAUGCGGGAGAUGCGGGUCUCUGGGAACACAGACGUGUCCUGGAGAAAGACCAGAGCUGGUGUGCAUUUGUUCCACACGGAUCCACCUCUGCUGGUGCUGACGUUUUGAAGACUCGUUCCGUAGGCACUCCUUUCACACCAGAAGCCUGUUCUGUGCUUGCUGCUCACAUUUUGAGGCAGGUGGUGCCGUUGCCGUUUUGACCUGUGUUUGCACUGAGGGUUCCUAACGCCUGUACCGGGGUAGCCUUGUGCCGUCCUAACACCAAAUUAAAAUAAGCCCCGAGGAAUCGAGAUUUUGUUUGUUUUUCAAAAG
rnacentral:lncRNA from 1 species